rnacentral:rRNA from 1 species
AUUGAACGCUGGCGGCAGGCCUAACACAUGCACGUCGAGCGAGCGGCGGACGGGUGAGUCAUGUAUGGGGACUGCCCGAUAGAGGGGGAUAACUACUGGAAACGGUGGCUAAUACCGCAUACUAUCGGAUAACCCAUAUGUGAUUAGCUAUUAGUUGGGGGAAAGGCUCACCUAGACGACGAUCUCUAGCUGGUCUGAGAGGGUGAGACGCAACACUGGGACUGAGAAACGGCCCAGACUCCUACGGAGGCAGCAGUGGGGAAUAUUGCACAAUGGGCGCAAGCCUGAUGCAGCCAUGCCGCGUGAGUGAAGAAGGUUUUCGGAUCGUAAAACUCUGUUGUUAGAGAAGCGGUAUCUAACCAGAAAGCCACGGCUAACUACGUGCCAGCAGCCGCGGUAAUAC